UGUGGGACCGGCUGAGGACUCUGUGUACCUACAGUUUGCUUUGUAACUGACUGCGUGUGCUUGGUUCGGGAGCAAAUGCAGAGGGGCAAAUGAGUGUCAGAGAGGGAAAGAAAGAUGAGAGAGAGAAAAAUAUGUACGGAGGAAAGACUGAUUUUUCUGGAAGUUAACUCAUAUUGCACUCAAGAAGGGACUCGAGAUUUUGGAAGCUACUUUUUGAUAGGAAAAACAUUUUUGGUCUCUAAUAUUCUCAAAACAGCAAGUGGGCUUUGGUGACCUUACAGUGAGGGAACGCCUCGCGAGUUUGACUGACGAAGAUACACGCUGAUGGAGAAGUGAAAGUCGUUCGGCUCUGACUCUGAACAAUGAGCUCCGACAGACAGCCGCCAUCAUGGAAAUGUCACGGCCAACAUCAGAGACCCGGCAGCCUCCUCUUUCAUUCCCUUAAUCCACAAUCCCUCCUCUCCUCUCCUGAGCAGCAUACAUAUUCAGCAGCUCAAGUCCUCGCCAUUCUAAUGAGGCCUAGACCAGCGGGCUAUGAAAGAGAGGAGAGAUACGGGUGGGUGGGUGAGUGAGUGGGGGGUUUUAAGAGAGAGGAGAGACCGUCUUUGAACUCCCAAAGAAAGAGAGACGGAUGAGAGAUGAAGAUGAAUAGAUGGAUGGCUGAAGUGAUGAGAGAAGGAGUGAGUGAAGAGACAGAUCAAAUGCUUCUGAUUCUUUCCUGUGGUCUUUACACAGCAGGGUUAGUUGUGUUCGGUUUAAAUGCUGCUUUAAGAGAGCGUCCUGUUAUAUUUCAUCACUUGAUUCACUUGACACACUUAAGGCUGAAGUCUGUCUUUAUGUUUGAGUUUAAAGGGAUCCUUCACCCAAAAAGACAGUUCUAUCAUCAUCCAUGUUGUUCCAAACCUUUAUGACUUCGUUUGUUCUAAAAGUUGCUGAGCAGAACAUUCUCGCCACACUGUUCUGUACUUAUGUGAUCACAGGUGAGCAAUGAUAUAAGAGUGAUUUUAUUUUUCAACAAAUACGCAGAUACUUAUAAUUUCAGGGAGGUCUUUUGGUUUGUCAGACCAAUGGCAGAUGAGGAGUGUUUGGAAAGAUUAUUUUUGCUUUCUUUAGGGAUAAGUACAAGAAAAACAAGACCAAAGAAAAAAAAAAAGAAAGCAAUAACUUUAGAAGUUAACUUUCUGCAAUGAAUUACAUUUGCAUUUACAUAUGCUUUUUAACAGAAGCUAUUAUCCAAAGCGACUUAUAAAAAAAGAGGAAAAGCAAUUCGUCAACGACUAGGUACUAACCCUGAACCUACCCCUACCCUUAAACCUAACCCUACCCCAUGUAGUUACCUUGUAUUACCAGAACUUUCUUAGAUAAAUACACUUUAAGUACAUAGUAAGUACAUAUACUGUAAAAUAAAGUGCAACCCAACGACUGAUUCCAAAUUAUAAACACCUGUCUGAAUUUUAGGUGUAUUUUAGAAACAGAAACAUAAAGAAAAUUUCUAAAUAUUUGUAUAUAUCAUAUACAAAUAGUAUAUCAUAUUUAUUCGGAAUUGCGGUAUAAUAUCUGCAUUCAUACUGGAUAUAAAUAGAUACAUUUUUCGGCAAUCAGUAUCAUCUAAAAUUUCAAUAUCAGUGUAUUCCUAGUUCAAAGCCUCAAAAAGGAGACAUUUUUAGCUGCAACUAAAGCAGUCUCUGGGCAUAUCUGCUCAAAUGAAUGCUGCAGUGGUGUGAAAUUUGUCAUUUUCAGCGCUUCUACACUCUUGUAAAAGUAGAAGAGGGUGCCUGAGGUCUAUUUUUCCUCUCUUCACACACAGCUAGCAGCGGGAAGCAGGAAGCGCGGCCUGAAAGACUCGCUGGAUGCGCUAUCAGAAGGGGAAGUUCCCGUUCCCAUUCGCUGCUUUACUAACCAGAUGCUUCAUGGCCUGGAUCUGGUUAUUGGAACAGAGCGAUAAAUGCACUUCAGUCCGACACUGUAAGCAAGCGUGCUUCAGAUGAAUGAGAGAAAUCAGGAUCGUGUGCUAAUGUGUUUGCAUUUUUAAUAGAGAAUAGAGAGACUACCAUGCUUUCGCUUGCUGAUGAGGGAGGUUUUACACACACAUAUGACCAGUCCACUAGUUGUCCAUUGUUGGUGUGAGCAGAUGUGUACAGAGUCUGCUAUGGGGUUCACCAAGGCUAGGGGUUUCAGCUGCUCGCAAACACACACAUAUUCAGGUCACCAGCAAUUAAACCAUUCCACUUAGCUGAAACCAGGUGCAAUAACCCAAGCUACAGUGCUUAGUUUCAGUAAAGACCUAGUUCAAGUCAGUAUCUGAAGUGUAUUUGUUAAUACAGUUAGGGUUGCAUGAUUAUCAGGAAGGGUAAAAUCACAUUUAUGACUUCAUUGUCACAUUGUAAUCAAUCAUAGAUUUUGUAGUUGUAUUAAUUAGCUUUUACUGAAUUAGUUUAAUGAAAUUAAACACAGAAAGUAAGCAAUGUAACAAUACUAUAACAUUCCAAUCACGUGCAAGUUUAGAGUCUUAUGGGAUUUUGAACUAAUAUGAUAUUGUACAUUGUACAUCAAAACGAGCCAUAUACUUAAUAUUGGAGGGACAGUUAAUUCGUUUAACUUUAUCCUCUUAUCUUUAAUUUCAUGUUGCAUAUUUGGGUACCCUUGUGAAAAUACAUUAGCAUACUUUUAAAAAGAUAAAAGUACAAUAUAAAUGUAUUGUUCUGGACACGUAAUUGCAAUUAGAUGAAAAUGUAUCCUUUUGUUAAAUCACUUAAGUAGGUCUUAAGUACAUCUUUAUGAUUAAAUUUCAUAAUUACUCCCAAAUCUUUAUUACAAAGUGCACUUUUAAAAAGUUUACUUGCGUGUUAAGAACUAUAGUCAUGAAAGCAUGCUCUCUUUUAAGUACACUCAACUAGCUGUUUGUUUCAUUAAUAUUAUCUGUAAGUACAGUUUUAUUAAUCUAUACAUUUAAGAUUUUAAGUACACUAUAGGUGCACAGCCAAUAUAAUUAAGUGCAAUUACAAUUUUCAAAAGGUUAGGGAUGCACCAAUAUUAAAAUUCUGGUCGAUACUGAUGAGCAAGUAAUUAUUUUCAUCUUAUAGCUGAGAAUGAUAACGAUAUUUAAAUUCUAAACCAUUUUGACUUAAUAAAUCACACACACACACACACACACACACAAAUCUAUGUUUCAAGUGAAUUUAUGCAUCUAAACAUUAUAAUAUAGAUUUUCUAAAAAGUUAAUUUAACCUGUUAUUAAAUUAUUAAUGUUUUGGCAAAGUUAUUUUAAAUGAUUGUUGAAAGCAAUCUUAAAAUAAAAAUAAGAGAAUGCACAAUUAAAUAUACAAUAUUGGAUGUUAUAUACACAAUAACUACAAGUAUUGGCCACUUUUUUCAAAAUUAGUUACAUACCCAACAAUAAUUGGCUCCAGAAGGUACCCCCUUUUGAAGACUCCUGUGCUCAACAGACAUGUCUGCGGCUGCUAAAAGCCAUUCCAGCGAAAAACGCUUAAUUGCAGCUCUAAUCGUAACCUUGACUGUUUGAUUAGUUCUGCAGCCCUAAACGUUUCCUUCCUUAAACAUUUUCUUUCUUUGUGCCAUAAAAUGAUGUCAAAUGCCCAUCCAUAUGAACCGUGCAGACUUACACUCUCUUUUCAUUGUCAGACCUAGCAUGAUAUUCUAAUCAGGGAUUUUUGAAAUCCCCCAGCAUACUCAGCCCUCUUGAUUUCUGAGCCAAAGAAGAGGGGGGGGGGGGAUUGACAGCAUAUAGUGUGUUUAAAAGUCACCGGGAUUGGUUGUGUAGUUUGGAGGAGCAGUCAAAUGGGAGCAUACAUUAAUAAUGCAUGCCUGCCUCAAAGAGCUCUCACACAGGAAACACAGACUGGGGUUCAGAUCAGGGUAAAGAGAACAGGCCUGGAGAGAGAGACAGCGAAAAAGUGGGCGAGAUCGAGAGAGACAUUAAAAGAACAGUAAAAGCCAGGUUGUGAUGUGUUUGUCGUGUUCUAGCCUUCAGAUUUUCUUACCGACCCCAUGAAACUGCUUAAGAAUGCCACUUUUAGUCAUGUGUUGAUGUAUUUACAGUUAAAAUGGGAAGUUUGGGUGAGACAUUAAACAUUUUACUGGCUAGUUAGUUGGAGGUGGUACAGGGGGCGGGGCAUUUGCAUUCUAAAGAGCAUCUGAUAGGACCAAAAUCUGUGUAGUGCAGGAUGAGUCAUCGUCAUUCAACUUGUUUGUAAACUAGCAUACAAACGCUAAUAAACAUGAUUAAAAGUGACAGAAACAGUAUCAUGGGGUGUUUAAAAGGCAACAUAAUUGUGUUUUUAGUUUUCCAAGUGCUCCAAUGCUGUUUAUAUAGUUUCACCGUUUCAUGUUGACUUCAAUUCCAUUCCAACUUCAAGUAAAACUUCUGAUCAGCUUUCUACCAAAACGCACCUGGUGCUUCUACAGUAGGUCUACACUAAAAGGCCCAUUGUCCUACAAGAUUUGCUGGUCCCUUGGUGAACAUUCAACGCUGUCGGUGAGUUUUGAGCUUCUGUAACAAACCAUCGACCGUUGACUGUACCCUGAGGGUGGCCAAAAAAAUGACGUAAGCGGAGCAAUCUAGAAACAGAUCUGGAAAGAGCAGUAUGGGUGUAUUAUCCCACUAAUGUCUGCAAUAAACAUUCAUUGCUGUCGGUGGGUUUCCAAUGAACACAACUCACUGAUCAAUGAAUGCAAACUGCGGUGCAAGAACCUCAGUCAAAAAUGGCAGGAGGAGUGAAGGGAUUUCUGGGAAGAGUCAUUUGGGCAGUGUUAUAAGGACAGCAGCACACCGGCAAAGACUAAAGGGGAAAGGUAAGUCCACUUAAUAAGUAAGUCUACUUUGUAUAUCAUAAUAACAAGAUGUUUCUGACGCUAUUAAUCACAGAUGAAAUAUAAAGUAGAAAUUUUACUAUAAUAAUCGAUAUCAGAACAACAAGGGUGCUAUUGUAAUGAAUACCAGCACUGAGUUUCAGAUGUAGUCAAGAAGCCGCAGGCCGUGCUUCAGGAUUGCUCCAAGCAAACACAGAUGCUCCAGUUUUCCAAUAACCUUGCUUUGCCUGAGGUGAAAUCCCACCAAUGCACUCCCUGUUCCACUUCUGCUCCGCACCACUCACAUAUUCUGGUCUGGAUCGUUGUGAACAUGGAUAAAUAGAGUGAUACAAGCACCCUGAAAACUGUCAUUUAAAAUCAUUUGAGAUGCCUCAGGAA